CCUACGGGCGGCUGCAGUGGGGAAUAUUGGACAAUGGGGGGAACCCUGAUCCAGCCAUGCCGCGUGUGUGAAGAAGGCCCUCGGGUUGUAAAGCACUUUCAGUGAGGAAGAACGCCUGGUGGUUAAUACCCAUCAGGAAAGACAUCACUCACAGAAGAAGCACCGGCUAACUCCGUGCAGCAGCCGCGGUAAUACGGAGGGUGCGAGCGUUAAUCGGAAUUACUGGGCGUAAAGCGCGCGUAGGUGGCUUGAUAAGCCGGUUGUGAAAGCCCCGGGCUCAACCUGGGAACGGCAUCCGGAACUGUCAAGCUAGAGUGCAGGAGAGGAAGGUAGAAUUCCCGGUGUAGCGGUGAAAUGCGUAGAGAUCGGGAGGAAUACCAGUGGCGAAGGCGGCCUUCUGGACUGACACUGACACUGAGGUGCGAAAGCGUGGGUAGCAAACAGGAUUAGAUACCCGUGUAGUC
rnacentral:rRNA from 1 species